AGCUGCCCAAGGCUCUUUCCCUGUUGCCCUGCUGUAUGUCCCUGAGCAGUGCAAUUGUGAAAGGGCAUUGGUCAAGCU
rnacentral:pre_miRNA from 1 species